rnacentral:rRNA from 1 species
UCGACGGGGAUGCUUAUGGAAGGAGUGCUUGCACUUUGGAAAUGAGUAUCUUAGUGGCGGAUGGGUGAGUAACGCGUGGGUAACCUGCCCCAUACCGGGGGAUACCACCUGGAAACAGGUGCUAAUACCGCAUAAGCACACGGGAGCGCAUGCUCCUGUGUGAAAAACUCCGGUGGUAUGGGAUGGACCCGCGUCUGAUUAGCCAGUUGGCAGGGUAACGGCCUACCAAAGCGACGAUCAGUAGCCGGCCUGAGAGGGUGGACGGCCACAUUGGGACUGAGACACGGCCCAAACUCCUACGGGAGGCAGCAGUGGGGAAUAUUGCACAAUGGGGGAAACCCUGAUGCAGCGACGCCGCGUGAGUGAAGAAGUAUUUCGGUAUGUAAAGCUCUAUCAGCAGGAACGAGACAAGACGGUACCUGACUAAGAAGCCCCGGCUAACUACGUGCCAGCAGCCGCGGUAAUACGUAGGGGGCAAGCGUUAUCCGGAAUCACUGGGUGUAAAGGGAGCGUAGACGGCUGAGCAAGCCUGAAGUGAAAGGCGGGGGCCCAACCCCCGGACUGCUUUGGGAACUGUACGGCUGGAGUGCAGGAGAGGUAAGUGGAAUUCCUAGUGUAGCGGUGAAAUGCGUAGAUAUUAGGAGGAACACCAGUGGCGAAGGCGGCUUACUGGACUGUAACUGACGUUGAGGCUCGAAAGCGUGGGGAGCAAACAGGAUUAGAUACCCUGGUAGUCCACGCCGUANACGAUGAUUACUAGGUGUCGGGGGGCNGAGGCCCUUCGGUGCCGCAGCAAACGCAAUAAGUAAUCCACCUGGGGAGUACGUCCGCAAGGAUGAAACUC